rnacentral:sRNA from 1 species
GACAUCUCUAACAAUUGAGCCGGAUCCCGAGUCCCCAUCAAGCCUUAUCGUCACAGCUAACUACUUUCCCAAUAUGAAAUGUCGUAUUCUAAUCACUUCAGCUGUAGUUAGAAAAGACGAUGAUAGUAUUGUAACUGGAUGUGCUGCUGAUAAGGAUUUGUGCAUUUAUGCGCUCGCUUCUAUUCGGAAUACAAAGUGGUAUGAUGUGAGUUUUUUUUAAAUUUUACACAUAUUUUAAAUUACUUUAUCAUUGGAAAAUCUAAUAAAUUAGAGCCCAGUUUACAAAAAAAUCUAUAUUUUUCCAAAAAAAAAAUUGAAAAAAAUCGAUAAUUUCUCAAAAAAUGUUUACAAAAUCGAACUUUUUCCAAAAAACUUUGAAAAAAUCGAUAAUUUUAAAUAACUGCUGACAAUUAAAAAAAAUCGAAAAUUUCUCAAAAAUUGAAAAAAUUAAUAUUUUUCCAGAAAAAAUUGAAAAAAAUCGAUAAUUUCAAAUAAUAGCUGAAGAUUUUUUAAAAAAAUCGAAAAUUCGAACCUUUCUCAAAAAAUUUGAAAAAAAUCGAUUUUUUUUCCAAACUUUUUUUCAUCAAAAAUUUCUCAAAAAUUUGGAAAAAAUUAGAAAAAAUCAAUAUUUUUCCGAAAAAAUUUGAAAAAAAAAUCGAUAAUUUCAAAUAAUAGUUGCAAUUUUUAAUUUAAAAGCGAAUUUUUCAAAGAUUUUUCAAAUUUUUCACGUUUUUUUCUCUGGUUUUUUUAAAUUAAAAAGCGUAAUUUUUACCGAAUUUAUCAUUAAAUUACAUGAAUUUUUCUGAAAGAGCGAGAAAAUUAAAAUAAUUCGGAAAAAAAACAAUUUUUUUCCAAAUUUUCCAAAAAAUCCCACAGAAACCACCAAACUUUACUUUUUUUUUUUAACAAAAAAAAGUUUUAAAAAAUAUCAAUUUCCGGCUUUUUUUCUGCCAAAAACUUUGGAAAAUGUGGGUAAUUUUGGCUUUAAAAGUUUAAAAAUUGAAAAAAUCAGGAAAACUUUUUGAAUUUUCAGAGUCACUGCCAAUACUUGAACUCGUGCCAAUCAGUUAUUCGACUGCUCCGAGAUUUGCGAAAUAAAUAUCCUGAAGUUGCGUGUCUUGAUGAUUAU